AGACACACAGCCAGCAAUCUUGUGAUAGCAGAGUUUAUUGGCUUAUUUGUUUUUCAGAAACUCAACCAGCAAAACUACAACAUGCUGCAAAUUUGUUUCAUUUGCUCUCUUCAGUCAACUGCAGAACUCUGGUUAAGGACACAACGUGAAUUACCCUCAAGCAACGUGAACAUCCUGCAGUAAUGAUUCCAGUGGUCAAAAUUUGGAGAAGGAAGCAUACAAGCAUCUCUGACCAGUUACAGUGGUGUGAGUGCUAUGCUGUCCUCACUAUUGCUCUCGGUCCUGUGGGCUUCCCGUUUGCAUCUGCUGAAAACAAUUCUCG